CCACUCUAUACUUUAGAAAAUUAAAGGGAAAAUUACAUGGCAACAGCCAACAGGUCUUUAAGAAAUACAAUUCUAUAUAACAUAUUAAAUUUAUUUGUGCAAAUAUCAUGUAUUAAUCUAAUUAUUGCCAACCGCCCAGCCCCCAAAACCCUAAUUAUUUCCUCUCGCCAUUCUCUCUCUACAGCCAUCUCCCUUCUCUCUUCAUCGUCGGAUACGAUACCACACCGAUGACGUCGUGUCAACGAUGACUAUAGCGUGACACUAGCAUUCGGUGAUCGCCUCUAUUCCUUCGUCGCUUUUGUGCCUUGCACACCUGUCGAAAGACAAGACAACACCACUGGAAGAUGUCAACGAGUGGAACUGAGAUACCGCUGCACGUUCUAUCGUUCGCAGUGGUGUUGAACGACAGUGUUGAGGCUGUUGCUAACUCACGAGCACGUUGCUCGAUAUGCUGUAGAAAAUUUGGUAAGGGGUUUGAGGAUUUUUGAUCGCUGGCAAUAGAGAAAAUUCAGGAAGGUAAUUUGGGGUUUUUUGGGGAUGAUUUCAUUCUCCUUUCGAUCUAAUAUGCUAAGUGGGAACAGUUGUGUAUAGAUGUCCUCUUCGCUAUGGUGGAGAAAUCUGGUGGUGGUUUUGAUGUUGUGGUGCAAGUGGAUCUAUGAGGUUUUGUUAUUUUUGUUUGAUUCAGUCGAUUGGUUUUUGGAGUGGCGGUGGUAUGGCGAGGGUGGUCGCAAGUGGUGGUGGUGGCGGUGAACAAAUUAUUCGAUUAUAUGUGACCAAAUAUUAUAUUGUGAUUUUAAAAUUUGAUAACUUGAGAUCAAAAUUUUGUGAUCAACAAAUUUGAAAAUUUGUGACCAACAAUAAACUGUG
rnacentral:lncRNA from 1 species